rnacentral:rRNA from 1 species
AGUGAACGCUGGCGGCAGGCCUAACACAUGCAAGUCGAGCGGCAGCGCGGGGGCAACCCUGGCGGCGCGCGGCGGACGGGUGAGGAAUUCGUCGGAAUCUGCCUUUUUGUGGGGGAUGACGUAGGGAAACUUACGCUAAUACCGCAUACGUCCUACGGGAGAAAGUGGGGGACCGCAAGGCCUCACGCAGAAAGGUGAGCCGACGACCGAUUAGCUAGUUGGUGGGGUAAAGGGCGACCUAGGCGACGAUCGGUAGCUGGUCUGCGAGGAUGAUCAGCCACACGGGGACUGAGACACGGCCCAGACUCCUACGGGAGGCAGCAGUCGGGAACAUGGGACAAUGGGCGCAAGCCUGAUCCAGCCAGGCCGCGUGUGUGAAGAAGGCCUUCGGGUUGUAAAGCACGUUUGUCCGGAAAGAAAUGCCUGGGGCUAAUACCUUCCGGGGGUGACGGUACCGGAAGAAUAAGCACCGGCUAACUUCGUG